AUACGAAGGGUGCAAGCGUUAAUCGGAAUUACUGGGCGUAAAGCGUGCGUAGGCGGUGAUUUAAGUCUGCUGUGAAAUCCCCGGGCUCAACCUGGGAAUGGCAGUGGAUACUGGAUCGCUAGAGUGUGAUAGAGGAUGGUGGAAUUCCCGGUGUAGCGGUGAAAUGCGUAGAGAUCGGGAGGAACAUCAGUGGCGAAGGCGGCCAUCUGGAUCAACACUGACGCUGAGGCACGAAAGCGUGGGGAGCAAACAGGAUUAGAUACCCUGGUAGUCCACGCCCUAAACGAUGCGAACUGGAUGUUGGUCUCAACUCGGAGAUCAGUGUCGAAGCUAACGCGUUAAGUUCGCCGCCUGGGGAGUACGGUCGCAAGACUGAA
rnacentral:rRNA from 1 species